CCGACCUCCCUGACAGGCACAUGUGUUGCGUCUUCUGGCUGAACAUUGCUGCUGCACUGAUUCAGAUCCUGACGGCAAUCGUGAUGGUUGGCUGGAUUAUGAGUAUAUUUUGGGGGAUGGACAUGGUCAUUCUUGCAAGGUCUUCACGUAGUCAUCUCUGCUGAUGACAUCUCUGUGGGAGGAGGAUCUCAGGAAACUGCCAGGCACCAGCAAAACAAUUAAAUGGAUGAAACUGAAAAGAACAGCAGGAAAACAGAGCAGAUUUUCAGAUGCCAAACCCAUCGGUUAAACCCGUCCACCAAACCACCUGCUACUUUCUGAGCCAGCUUCAAUUUACAGGCUGAGUUCAGGGUGAUCCACAUACACAGUAAGAUGAUGUGAGCAUGAGUGAAACAAAAGGCUUUCCUCAAGACAAAGGCAGCAUUACACUUUGUUUUCCCCUGCAAACCAGCAGAAGUUUCAUCUCAGAUGUACCUGCAUGUUGGGUAGCCUAAUGCGGAUAACAUGUGAGUCAGUCUGUAACUGUGAAAUGUCUCUAAGAACCUGCUUGAUUUGUGUGUAAUUGGGUAAUGACAUGCUUGUACCUAUACAUGCUAGCACUAUUGCUCUGCUGGACAGCCUCAGCAUGUGGAACGCUGCUGGCAGACCCACUUUUGGAGUGUCAAGCACCUGUUCAGACAAAGAGCUGCAGCUGAAACUGUGACUUACCUUCCUCUGUAGUCCUCCAUGUGUAUAGCAAAGACACACAUCAACUGGGCAAAUGGCUGGUGCUCAGGAGGCUCCAACUGGUUUUCUGAUUUGGCUGCUGAGGAUAAAACCACAGCUUCAUCCAGGUCCAUCUGCUAGUACAGAAGGGGAAGGGGAGCCCACAUGCCUCAUGUUAAGCAGCUCUGUAUUACCUGACAAGUUGCAGCCUUAGGCAGUUUCUUGUCGUCUCAUUAAAUAGCUAGGUUUUGAAUUUACUUACAAUAUAUAAGGGUAAUCCUGAAUACAUUAAGCAGCUCACGGUUGAUGGAAAAUAGAAGAAAAAAUAGCUUUUCAGUCACAGGAAAAAACAGAAGUGAUCAGUUGCUCCCAGCUGGAUCAAACAGCCUGCCAGGCCUGAAGUGAAAUGUGUUUGUUUUUUUUCCAAUGCUUUGUUUUCAUGUAAAAACAAGAACAAAACUAAAACAAAAACUAAUUCAAAACUGAGUCAUUAGAAAUGAAACAAUGUUUUAAAUGCAAGAAAUAAGAUAUUUCAUUUAAAAACACUGCCACAAAAUGUUUUGCUUUGGUUUGAGUUUGUUUGCAUACAAAUAGAAACAAGUUGUUUGCAGUUUGUUCUGCACUGAGCAGAAACCAUAAACUGUUGCAACUUGAAUCUGCAUUUGGGUUGGGAGUAGUCAAAACCUACUGAACCACUGCCCCUGAACCUCUAAUCUUCCUCACCAUGAAAUGGUUGAGUCCAUGCCUCCCUGUGGCAGUCCCAUAUAUACAGGUAGUGUGAUUCUGAUGCGCUAAAGGUGGGCAGAGUGUGUGAUAUCACAGAUAAAGGGACUGGGGGGCCUUUGCUCUGGAUUUCCACGGAUGCCAUGAGGGAUCAGUGCGUCUUUCAUGGGCUCAAGGCAGAGCCUGUACCACUGCAUUGAUUGGCAGAGCACUGGGUCGCAGGUAGCUUGUUGCUAUUCUUCCCUUCCUAGUGCUCCUUAAUUCUCAGACUCUAAAAGGGGAGCACCGCAGGAGCCUGGUCCAAUAGGAGAGCCUUGAGGAUAAUGUCAUGCUGCCCAUCUUUAAUGCGGAGAAAAAUGAGAGGAAUUAUAAGUCAGUCAGGUACGCUUCAAUUCCCGGAACAACUAGUCACAUGGAUGAUUUGCAAGCAUUUAGAAAAUAAAAAGAAACAAAGCAAGAGUCAGCCUGGGGUUGUUAAGAACAAGCUGUGUUAAACUGGCCUAAUUCCCUUCUGUGGCAGAGGAAUUCAUUUUGUGAAUAGAGAAGGUGAUCAGACAUACAAAUCAACAGUGUGCAUGGCUGUGCCUACGGAUGAGCAAAGGCACUGUCACUUGUGGUUUCAGAGGAGAGACUCCUGCUGCAGCAGCCCUUGGUCUUUCAAGAACUCGCUGGAAAACAGUAGUAAGAAAUCACUUGUAAUCAUCCUGUCCACUUGUCACUCACUCCUUUGCUAAUUACAGUGCUCACACCUUGCCAGAAGCAACAGAUGAUUGCAUGGUUACUGUACAUUUAGGCUCCCAGAGACUUUGGAAGUGUCACCAAGGGCUGUCUUCUCCACAGGGCCCAUCCUAGAGUAGGUUCUGCAGUUGCCCUGGUAAGGAAAGAAAACAGAAAGCAUGUGAGAGACUCAGAAGAAAAGAGCAUCCCUAAACAGCUGGUAACCCUUUGUGAGAUUAAGGAAAUUCUGGGGGCAAAUUGCCUACUUUCCAUUACAUUCUUUUCAGUCUAAAUAGAACCAUCCCCCAGACUUUGCUUAAGUUUCACAAGGUAAGUUUGUUUCUGUUGCUCUUCCUCCCUCCUCACCCUCACACCUCAUGGCAGACCCCAGAAAGCACUUGUCUAGGGUGAGGAGCUUAGGUCUGGCUUGGGCAGGUGCCGCCUGCUCCCAGCCCAUGUCUGGCUCUGUCUGUGGUGUCUGUGCAUGUCUGCCUGUGUCUGUCUGUCCUUGUCAUUCCAGCGGAUGCAGGGGAACAAGAAGGGUACCGCCUCUGGCAGUAGCCUGCAUCCCCAUCCCAAGAGCAGAUUGCUCACAAAUCCCAAUGCCCCUACAACAGGUGAUGCCUGAGCUCUCGGAGAAACCCAGAGCACCUGCAACAGUCCCACCAUGUGCCAGGUGGGAGAUCCUGGUAUAUUGCUAUAGCUGCAGGACAGACCAAGGUCAAAAUGUUCCCUAGGCUGUGUCACAGGUGUUCUGGGGACAUCCCCAGAGCAGGAUAGGGGUGGUAGCAACCUGCUCUGGCCUCAGAGAACCUUGAGUAGGAACGUGGUCCUGGGGAGGGCCAGUGGAAGGACAGACUGUGUACAUUGGUUGCCUUUUGCCUACAGCUUACUCUAAAUGCAAUCUUGCAAUGGUUUACAGAAGUGCAAUUUCAAGCAAACUUGGUUAAGUUGGUGAUUUGGGGCACAAAUGCUGGUUCUAGACCUGUCUGCUUUACCAAACUGCACCUCAACUCUAUUGCUACACAGGCACACUAACAUAAAGUUGCUUUACACAAAAUACCUAUUGCUAUAUAAGAAGCAUGGUAACUUUUUGUUUUCAUGUAUAAACUAUUUAAUAGGACAAGUAAGUCUUAAGUAUUUUAAUAGUGUAAUUUAGCACAGAAGAGGUCAUCUUUUGGCUUACUUUGUUCACGUAAAGAGCGAUACAAGCUCUGCCAUUGCAAUUGGCUUCUAGCCGGUUGCAAAACCAAGCAGCAGAACUGAACAGAUUUCUGUUAUAUCUUAAUUAAAGGCAAGGCUACACAAACAAAGUAACUGUAAGUAUAACCUGUCUUGCUUGCUUCAGCUAAGGAUUUACAGCAUGACCCCAGCUUUCUGCUCCACAUUUAUUUUUUUUACUGAACAAGUUAGAGUGGUGCCAUAGAUAACUCCACAUUACAGGGCUUCAUUUUGCCUUCGCAGCUGACUCACAGUUAGAACAUAAAUGGAGAAGAAAUCAUUUUUUCCCUACAAAGUACUGUUGGAAAGAUCCGAGGGUCUUUCUGUUCAGCUGCAUGGCACGGGAAGCAGUGUGGUGCAGCGCUGUCUGUGCUGAGAAGUGUUAAUCCGGUCCUUGCCUCCCUGUGCUCCUUUAACAGCAGGGGAUCUAGGCUGCCAAGGCUGGAUGCACACGUGGACAUUUCCAAAGUGCAGCAAAGUUCAUUUGCCAGGGCCACCUCUUAGUUCACCAGCUACAAGGAGCAGGGGAUCCCACAGCAGCUGUAGUGGCUGGGACAAAUAUGUUCAGAGAAACACGGCAAGAGAUUUCCUUUGGCAGCCGUGGGCCGCGGACCUUUUCACUACCCUUUGUCUUUCUUCUUCCUUUUGUUUUGUGUUUGCCCCUGUCCACCUGCCCAUCCAGCGGAGCGGAGGUGCAGAACAGCAGAAGGAGACUUGCACUGAGUGAGGAGCAGAGAUGGGGCAAAUGCAGCGUGCAUUGGGACCAGCCCCAGCCAGUGUGCGGUGGGUGGUCGAGGAGGAGGAAAAGGAGUGUGCCGAGAGGAGGAAACCCCCUGGUGAAGGUGGCUCCUGGGCAGGCAGCGGAGCUGGGAGAGUGGGGAAUGGGAGAUACUGCUCUCUCUGUCCUCCCAGCAGGAAGUGGUCAGAGACUUUUUGCCUCCUAUUAUACGUUUUUGCCUCCUGUUACACAUUUUUGCCUCCUGUUACAUUAAAGAAAACCAGCUGUGAACAUCAAAUGCCAAGGAGCUAUCAAUAGACAAAUGUACAGCCUGUAAAAGCAACAAGCAUUACUUUUUUCCCUUCUGAGAGCCCGUUCUUGACUGCUUGGUGGCAGCAGAGGGCUCAGCCCAGCUUCCUCAGCUGUGUACCUUUGAAGCUCUAUCAUUGCAGAUGUCUUGAGAAAUGUGCUUGCUGUAAAUUGUAUUUUACUCUUAAACUGAAUUGGGCUGUCCUCUACUUCGAUCCGCUGGCUCCACGCAAGCACCAGACCUCCCACUGGCCCCGGGAAGCUCCUACCAGCGGGAGACGGGGAUCCCCUGCACCCUGUGUGCUGCCGGCGUGGCAGUGGGACAAGCCCUGCGCUGCCAAAAACCUCCAGUGUAAAGACUUCUCCUCCCCUUCCCCUGGAAGGAACCUGCUGUCAGUCUCUCCUCGGUUUGGACAUGGAUCCCUGCGCAGCGUGUCCUGCAGGACCAGUCGAUGGAGCAUCUCCGCUCUGCUCCCCAGGGGGCCGGGUGAAUCAUCCAGCACCUUCCCACCUCCUCUGCCACAGGUGCAGGCGCUUCCCUGGUGCAUGCGGCGUGCUCGCUCCUGCCUGCAGGAACAGGACCAUCCCAGCCACCCCUCCUCACCGGUCACAUCAGCUAACGCUUUCAGGGCUUCCACCAAAACAUUCCUCCUCUUCCACCUGGUAAAUAUUCCCUCCCUUCACGUUUUUGGUACAGCAAAUACCAAAAGGCUGUAACUGCAGGCCCUGCACAUGAUCCAGCUGCUGACCUGGACUGAGGCGCACUGGGACAGCUCAAUAUCAUCCCUCGCUUUAUGAGUACAAAUGCUUUAGGUGCAAGUGUUACAGCUACAGAGCGACAGCAGGUUACGAAGAAUAAAUGCAACUGCUUUACCGCCAUCAGCCAGCAACAAACUAUCUUCUGUUGCUCUUUCUUGACUGGGAAAACUAGGUUUCUCAAAAAGGGCUUUAAUGAAAUAGUUCCUUGGUACUUUGAACUUAGCCAGGCUGAAAAAAGCUGAUUUACUGCUUGCUGGAAAGCACUUCCAGGUGGGAACCAAACCAAAUGUGCUUUUGAAGUUCGUGGUGAGUCAUAAAGUAGUUUCACUCUGAGUGAGCCGAACCAUUUCAAUGUUCAUAGAUUUGUUGGUGUUGCCAGUUCUGUACUUACCAUGAAAAAGGUGCUGUGAAAAAUGGUCCCUGCCGUCCGCGCUCCUGCCUGACCGGCAGAGCUGCCUGCAGAGGCUCAGCACCUCCUGGCCGUGGCAGCAUGAUGGGUGAUCCCAGCACUUCCUAGAAACUUUGCCAUAUUAACACUGGACACCUCCUGCUGUCCUCAGUCAGUGUUUUUGCUAGGAAAUGGUCUGGCAUGCAAGGACACCACAGCAGGCGUUAUGGGUACAUGACAUGUGGGUACGUGUGUGUGCGCCACCGCAUCCCACACUGCCAAGAAAUCCGCAUGUUCCUCUCCAUGUGCAUCACUUAAUUUAUUAAAGACCUUUCAGUUAUGCUGGAAAUUGCCCUUUGUCAUAGUCUCUCCAUGAUGCAUGAGGUGUUAUGCAGAGCUCCACGUUUGGGAAGCCCAUGCAUGAAAACCCAUAAUGCCAUUACUCUCCAGGGGCUGCUUUAUCCCAUCCUGGUAUUUCCUCCUCACCAUUUGGGGAUGAACCACGCACAUGCUAAGCCAUCAGGGUGUCCUUAUACCCUGCCACUGUGCAGCACUGCAGGGGAAAUGCACAGGGCUUUGUCCCACAAAUACACUUAAAACA